GAGUUUGAUCCUGGCUCAGGGUAAACGCUGGCGGCGUGCCUAAAACAUGCAAGUCGAACGGACAUCCUUCGGGGUGUGAGUGGCGGACGGCUGAGUAGCGCGUGGACGACCUGCCCCGCUGUGGGGAACAACCGCCCGAAAGGGUGGCUAAUACCGCAUACGUCCGAUCGAUCGACGGUCGGGGAAAGCCUUGUGAGAGGCGCAGUGGGAGGGGUCCGCGUCCGAUUAGCUAGUUGGGGGGGUAACGGCCCACCAAGGCGACGAUCGGUCGCUGGUCUGAGAGGAUGAUCAGCCAGACUGGGACUGCGAACGGCCCAGACUCCUACGGGAGGCAGCAGUUAGGAAUUUUGGGCAAUGGGCGAAAGCCUGACCCAGCAACGCCGCGUGGGUGACGAAGGCCUUCGGGUCGUAAAGCCCUUUUCUCGGGGACGAUGAUGACGGUACCCGGGGAAUCAGCACCGGCUAACUACGUGCCAGCAGCCGCGGUAAUACGUAGGGUGCGAGCGUUGCCCGGAAUUAUUGGGCGUAAAGGGUGCGCAGGCGGCUCGGCGCGUCGCGCGUGAAAUCCAUCGGCUUAACCGGUGGGGGUCGUGCGAUACGGUCGAGCUUGAGGAGGGUAGGGGGUCGUGGAAUUCCCGGUGUAGUGGUGGAAUGCGUAGAGAUCGGGAGGAACACCAGCGGCGAANGCGGCGACCUGGGCCCUCACUGACGCUGAGGCACGAAAGCGUGGGGAGCGAUCCGGAUUAGAUACCCGGGUAGUCCACGCCGUAAACGAUGCGGACCAGGUGUCGGGGGUAUCGACCCCCCCGGCGCCCCANCUAACGCCACGAGUCCGCCGCCUGGGGACUACNGCCGCAAGGCUAAAACUCAAAGAAUUGACGGGGGCCCNCACAANCAGCGAACGUGUGGUUAAUUCAUGCACNCNAAAACUUACUGGCUUGAAUGCACGUGGUACGAAGUGAAACCNAAGACCCCNAGGAACGUGCCAAUCUGCAUGNNUUCUCACUCUGCCUGAGUGUUGGUNAAUCCNCACAANCACCCCCCUCAUUCCAUNUG
rnacentral:rRNA from 1 species